rnacentral:ncRNA from 1 species
ACAAACACAAUGAACAGACGAAGUACGACUUCCUUUUUUAAGAGAGAUUGUGGCUGGUGAAAACAAUCAAAAGGAUAAGGAAAUGCACCUGGGAGUGGUUUUGGCUAACGUCAAGAACGGAUGAAGACCGUUAUUCUUUCAAGGCAGAGAAAUCUGUAAAGAAAAGUGGAACCACGCCGUCGCGUCUUUUUA